rnacentral:rRNA from 1 species
UGGGGAAUAUUGCACAAUGGGCGAAAGCCUGAUGCAGCAACGCCGCGUGAGUGAUGAAGGCCUUCGGGUUGUAAAGCUCUGUCUUCUGGGACGAUAAUGACGGUACCAGAGGAGGAAGCCACGGCUAACUACGUGCCAGCAGCCGCGGUAAUACGUAGGUGGCAAGCGUUGUCCGGAUUUACUGGGCGUAAAGGAUGUGUAGGCGGAUACUUAAGUCAGAUGUGAAAAUCCCGGGCUUAACUUGGGAACUGCAUUUGAAACUGGGUAUCUAGAGUGCGGGAGAGGACAGUGGAAUUCCUAGUGUAGCGGUGAAAUGCGUAGAGAUUAGGAAGAACACCAGUGGCGAAGGCGACUUUCUGGACCGUAACUGACGCUGAGGCAUGAAAGCGUGGGGAGCAAACA